AAUCUGGCUGAUCCUGCCAUAUGUCAUAUGCUUGUCUCAAAGAUUAAGCCAUCAUGUCUAAGUGUAAACAAUUAUCCGGCGAGACUGUGAAUGGCUCAUUAAAACAGUCAUAGUUUAUUUGCUAGACGUUUAUAUGGGUCGAUGUAGCAAUUCUCGAGCUAAUGCAUGCUGUUUAUGCUGCAUGCGCAGUAUUUAUUAGAUAAAACCCAACGGAGGCGACCCUGUGGAAGUAUCAUAAUAACUUAGCGAACUCGAUGUAGAGAAGCAUUCAAGUUUCUGCCCUAUCAGCUUUUGAUGAGUUUAUUGGACUACCAUGGCAAUGACAGUGAUGGAGAAUUAGGAUUCGAUUCCGGAGAGGGAGUCUGAGAAAUGGUAACCGCAUCUAAGGAGGUAGCAAGUGCGCAAAUUACUCAAUCAUACUUAGGGAGGUAGUGGCAAGAAAUAACAGCGCGAGGCUUUAUCUUGCAAUUGGAAUGAGUUAAGUGUAUAAGCAUUUUGAGUAUUCACUGGAGGGAAAGUCUGGUGCCAGCAGCCACGGUAAUUUCAGCUCCAAUAGUAUAUAUUAAAGUUGUUGCAAUUAAAAAACUCGAACUUGAAGCUUCGGGGCUAGUCGCUGACCUUCUGGCAUCCAUCUCAGCAACGGCUUCGGCAUUAACUUAUCGCUGUCGUGAUCAGGUA